CCUCACUGGCCUCCAAGUUUUCUAGGAUGAUGCAAUGUCCAGCCAUCAACACAUUUGUGAAGGAAUUUUUACUCCCCAAAAGAGCGCCCCCCCAUGGCAGGAGAAAAAAGUCAAUUUUUUCUUGUCCUAUAAGGUGAAAAUACACAUUGUUGAGUGUCACGCCUGUACGCUUUGUCAUAUUGAAACAAAAAUUGACAAUCAUGUGUAUCUCAAUUAGAUCUACGAAAAAGUCAAAGAGCGCGUAUCUGUAUAAUGUACGGUUAAAGGGCUAUUUUGCAUUUUUUGCCGAUUCGCACACAUUGGCAUGUGGCUAUCUCCUCCUAAGGCUUUCGUCCCACCGAUACCAAAUUUGCUCAGGGCAAUCUACACCCCAUGCCCAUUCAAAGUUGUAAAAAUCAUGACGCUGCACCCCACGGUUUACGUUCUAGGGGGCGCCAAAGAUGACCCAAAAAUCCACAUUCUUAAAAGUCAUUUUGGCCACUGCAGGAGUACAGAGUACUGCAGUUCUAGGGGGCGCCAAAGACGACCCAAAAAUCCACAUUCUUAAAAGUCUUUUUGGCCACUGCAGGAGUACAGAGUACUGCAGGAUACACACACAUAUACACACACGCCAACAUACACACACACACACACACACACACACACACACACACACACAGACACACACACACACUCAGAGUCUGUUUUUUAGCACCUGCAAAAACAUGCUGUUUACAUAUUUGACAAGAAUGCAGAGGCUUCCUUUUGCCCCUGAAAAAAAUCAAAUUUCAAACACAACUUGACUGUUCAUUUCUCCAAAAGACAACCAUGAAGCUCCAUUUCAAACCUGAAGCAGAUAGUUGGUGCAUGUGUACAGUAACCUGAGGGGAGUGAGGUGACUAUUUCUGAGGAGAACAUGAGCAGUGAAGAUUCACCUUGGAGCUAGAACAGGGACGUGCACAUGAUUAUACAGGGGCAGGGGCUCAAGUUUUUUCCAGUCAUUUAUACAAUAUGGAAAUUAAUGUGAAAUUAAACCACAAAUAUGUGUGAUGAACUGUUUUUAAAACUUAAACUUCAAAUAAAAAUUGUAAACUUCAAAACAUAUGCAAAUUUUUAACAAAGAACAUAGUAAUUUACCUCUAUUUACAUCAAAAUGCAGGCAAUGGCCCAGGCGUUCUUUGUAAAAUUAUUUACAAAACACUGUAUAGUCUCACAAAUGUCACUUUUUAUUUAUGCCACUACAAAAAAACAUGAUGUAAAUGAUGCAUGAUGUAAAACAUGAUGUAAAAAACUUGUGUAGAUCCUCCUCUAUGUUAGUCCAUGUGUAAUUUUUCCAUAAUUCUUUGUUUUUUGCAGCAUUUUUGUUAGUGUAACUGCAGAUUGUGCUGACUGUCUAUGGCAAAAAAAAAAAAAACUGAAAAUGCCUCAACAUGAACCCCUGGUGGUCUCUGAGGGUGAAACCUGCUAACUGCUGCAGCUCUGUCAGCUUCAGUCUCCCAUGCAGAGCUCUGAGCGCAUGUGUGGCUCUGCACCCUUAGCAGCGUUGCUAACUCCUCAGUAAGGAAAGCCUGCUUCAUGUCAGAGUCUCUAAACUCCAGAAGAAGUCGAUAAAAGUCCCUUUCUUUCUAAAAAAAAGUCGUUAGGGUGUCUGAAAAGUCAUUGAAUCUAACAACAAAGUCGCUAGGUUUGCAACUACGUGUCCCAGACUGCAUCCCUGCUGAGAGUCCCUCCCUCCCUUCUCAUGUUGCAGGAAGAACGUAAGCGCCCGCCCCUUGUCAAUCAGUCACCAUAUAAUUUUGGAUUGGUUGUUGUGGUGAAGUUUUCCACCAAUAGGAGAGAUGUUGUGGUGUGUUUUUUUUUUCUUUUGGCAAGCCUUUUCCGCCUGUAAGACCUGUCGCUAAUGUCUGCAUGCUAUGUUUUCCUGUCUCAUACAGCGCGAUCGAGCGCCGAACGUGAUCAAAAUAAGCAGAAAAAAAGUAUCGCGGACAUAAUUUAUCAUAACUCUGGUUUUAUUUGGCCUAUCAACACAAUUUAAAAACUGGUAUAUAGGUUGAGGUCCUCACUUUUGAGAUAAGUUGAAACGGAGAGUCAACGAGGCUCCGUCUUGCAGCUACAUCCGGUUAAAUAUGUCAUGUGACUUGAACGCACACAUAGACACACACACACACACACACACACACACACACACACACACACACACACACACACACACACACUCAGAGUCUGGUUUUUAGCACCUGCAAAAACAUGCUAUUUACAUAUUUGACAAGAAUGCAGAGGCUCCUUUUGCCCCUGAAAAAAAUCAAAUUUCAAACACAACUUGACUGCUCAUUUCUCCAAAAGACAACCAUGAAGCUCCAUCCAAACCUGAAGCAGGCAGUUGGUGCAUGUGUACAGUAACCUGAGGGGAGUGAGGUGAGUGCUUCUGAGGAGAACAUGAGCAGUGAAGAUUCACCUUGGAGCUAGAACAGAGACAUGCACAUGAUUAUACAGGGGCAGGGGCUCAAGUUUUUUCCAGUCGUUUAUACAAUAUGGAAAUUAAUGUGAAAUUAAAACACAAAGUAUUAAUAGAAAGGUAAUGACUGUCCUGUGUAGGUGACAGUGAUAUCCAAUAGGCUAGGCACUCACGAGGCUGGCUGUGGCAAGUGUAAGUGAAAGCAACACGCACUGGCAGGAAGAACAGCAAACGCCGAUGAAGGAAAAGGGUCUUUGCAGUGAUGGGCGUUACCAGAGAGGGCGAUGGCCAGAGGACACAAAUGGGACGGGGAGGCAGCACGUUGGGGGGGGGGGACGCGACACGGCUCGGGCCCGCCAGUGCCCCAACGGGGUCCUAGUCUUUGUUUCUUUCUUUCUUUCUUUAGGGCCCGAGCGUAGCUGCUAAGCAGCUGCGAGAGCCCUAUUAUUCCUGAUGGAUUCUUCUUUCUUCUUCUUCUUAUUAUUAUUUUUCUGCCCCUUUGAACUGGAAAAUGGCCCACUUCCCACUGGUGAAAAGUCAUGAAAUUUGGCAGGACGACCGGGCCUGGUGAAAAAUUCGAUAUUCUGAAGUCGCCCAAAAAAUCAAAUGCAAAAUGGCUCCAUAGCGCCCCCUAAGGUGAAAAAUUCACAUGAUUGAGUGUCACGCCUGUACGCUUUGUCAAAAUGACACAAAAUUUGACACACACGUGUAUCUCAAUAAGAUCUACAAAAAAGUCAGUGCGGGCGUAUCUGUCAAAUGUACGGUUAAAGGGCUAUUUCGCAUUUUUUGCCGAUCCGCACACAUUGGAAUUUCGCUAACUCCUCCGAAGGCUUUCGUUCCACCGGCACCAAAUUUGCUCAGGCCAAUCUACACCCCAUGGCCAUUAAAAGUUGUACAAAUCAUGACGCUGCAUCCCACGGUUUACGUUCUAGGGGGCUCCAAAGAUAACCCAGAAAUCCACAUUCUUAAAAGUCGUAUAACUUUUUAUUUUUGUCCUCACUGGCCUCCAAGUUUUCUAGGAUGAUGCAAUGUCCAGCCAUCAACACAUUUGUGAAGGAAUUUUUACUCCCCAAAAGAGCGCCCCCCCAUGGCAGGAGAAAAAAGUCCAUUUUUUCUUGUCUCCUAAGGCGAAAAUUCACACUAUUGACUGUCACGCCUUUACGCUUUGUCAUAUUGACACAAAAAUUGACACACACAUGUAUCUCAAUAAGAUCUACAAAAAAGUCAGUGCGGGCGUAUCUGUCAAAUGUACGGUGAAAGGGCUAUUUCGCAUUUUUUGCCGAUCCGCACACAUUGGAAUUUCGCUAACUCCUCCGAAGGCUUUCGUUCCAAAGGCACCACAUUUGCUGAGGCCAAUCUACACCCCAUGGCCAUUAAAAGUUGUACAAAUCAUGACGCUGCACCCCACGGUUUACGUUCUAGGGGGCGCCAAAGAUAACCCAAAAAUCCACAGUCUUAAAAGUCUUAUAACUUUUUAUUUUUGUCCUCACUGGCCUCCAAGUUCUCUAGGAUGAUGCAAUGUCCAGCCAUCAACACAUUUGUGAAGGAAUUUUUACUCGCCAAAAGAGCGCCCCCCCCAUGGCAGGAGAAAAAAGUCCAUUUUUUCUUGUCUCCUAAGGCGAAAAUACACAUUGUUGACUGUCACGCCUUUACGCUUUGUCAAAAUGACACAAAAUUUGACACACACAUGUAUCUCAAUAAGAUCUACAAAAAAGUCAGUGCGGGCGUAUCUGUCAAAUGUACGGUUAAAGGGUUAUUUCGCAUUUUUUGCCGAUCCGCACACAUUGGAAUUUCGCUAACUCCUCCUAAAUCUUUUGUCCCAUCGGCUUCAAAUUUGCUCAGGUCAAUCUACACCCCAUGGCCAUUCAAAGUUGUACAAAUCAUGACGCUGCACCCCACAGUUUACGUUCUAGGGGGCGCCAAAGAGGACCCAAAUAUCCACAUUUUUAAAAGUCUUAUAACUUUUUAUUUUUGUCCUCACUGGCCUCCAAGUUUUCUAGGAUGAUGCAAUGUCCAGCCAUCAACACAUUUGUGAAGGAAUUUUUUCUCCCCAAAAGAGCGCCCCCCCAUGGCAGGAGAAAAAGUCAAGUUUUUCCUGCCCAUCGCUCAAUGGCUCAAACGCAUCGCUCUCUCUGCAAAACCGAAAGGAGGAGCAACUUGCCAUUUGGAUAUAUACUAGCUGUGUUUGUGCCCUCACUCAUGGUCCAGACUUUUUUCAAAUAGGACAUGUAGUUUGUCUGCAGCGAGCGUUUUGGUAGAAACUGCGCCUCCCAUUCAUUAUAAUGGGAAAUGACCACAGACAAGUGCGCACACCAUCUUUGGACCUUGAGUGUGACGCGAUCGGGAGGGGGAGGCGGUCGCGCUGGGGGCGGCGCGACGCGGCUCGGGCCCGACAGUGCCCCACCGGGGCCCUAGUUAUUUUUCCUCCGCUUUAAACUGGAAAAUGGCCCACUUCCCACUGGCGAAAACUCAUGAAAUUUGGCAGGACGACCGGGCCUGGUGAAAAAUUUGAUAUUCCGAAGUCGCCCAAACAAGAAAAUGCAAAAUGGCUCCAUAGCGCCCCCUAAGGUGAAAAUUCACAUGACGGCUGUACGCUUUGUCAUAUUGACACAAAAAUUGACACACACAUGUAUCUCAAUAAGAUCUACAAAAAAGUCAGUGCAGGCGUAUCUGUCAAAUGUACGGUUAAUGGGUUAUUUUGCAUUGUUUGCAGAUCUGCACACAUUGGAAUUUCGCUAACUCCUCCGAAGGCUUUCGUUCGACCGGCACCACAUUUGCGCAGGCCAAUCUACCCCCCAUGGCCAUUAAAAGUUGUACAAAUCAUGACGCUGCACCCCACGGUUUACGUUCUAGGGGGCGCCAAAGAUAACCCAAAAUCCACAUUCUUAAAAGUCUUAUAACUUUUUAUUUUUGUCCUCACUGCCCUCCAAGUUUUCUAGGAUGAUGCAAUGUCCAGCCAUCAACACAUUUGUGAAGGAAUUUUUACUCCCCAAAAGAGCGCCCCCCCAUGGCAGGAGAAAAAAGUCAAUUUUUUCUUGUCCCCUUACAUGAAAAUACACAUUGUUGAGUGUCACGCCUGAACGCUUUGUCAUAUUGACACAAAAAUUGACAAUCAUGUGUAUCUCAAUUAGAUCUACGAAAAAGUCAAAAAGCGCGUAUCUGUAUAAUGUACGGUUAAAGGGCUAUUUCGCAUUUUUUGCCGAUUCGCACACAUUGGAAUGUGGCUAUCUCCUCCUAAGGCUUUCGUCCCACCGAUACCAAAUUUGCUCAGGGCAAUCUACACCCCAUGCCCAUUCAAAGUUGUAAAAAUCAUGACGCUGCACCCCAAGGUUUACGUUCUAGGGGACGCCAAAGAUGACCCAAAAAUCCACAUUCUUAAAAGUCAUUUUGGCCACUGCAGGAGUACAGAGUACUGCAGUUCUAGGGGGCGCCAAAGAUGACCCAAAAAUCCACAUUCUUAAAAGUCUUUUUGGCCACUGCAGGAGUACAGAGUACUGCAGGAUACACACACAUAUACACACACACACACACACACACACACACACACACACACACACACACACACACACACACACACACACUCAGAGUCUGUUUUUUAGCACCUGCAAAAACAUGCUGUUUACAUAUUUGACAAGAAUGCAGAGGCUUCCUUUUGCCCCUGAAAAAAAUCAGAUUUCAAACACAACUUGACUGUUCAUUUCUCCAAAAGACAACCAUGAAGCUCCAUCCAAACCUGAAGCAGAUAGUUGGUGCAUGUGUACAGUAACCUGAGGGGAGUGAGGUGACUAUUUCUGAGGAGAACAUGAGCAGUGAAGAUUCACCUUGGAGCUAGAACAGGGACGUGCACAUGAUUAUACAGGGGCAGGGGCUCAAGUUUUUUCCAGUCAUUUAUACAAUAUGGAAAUUAAUGUGAAAUUAAACCACAAAUAUGUGUGAUGAACUGUUUUUAAAACUUAAACUUCAAAUAAAAAUUGUAAACUUCAAAACAUAUGCAAAUUUUUAACAAAGAACAUAGUAAUUUACCUCUAUUGACAUCAAAAUGCAGGCAAUGGCCCAGGCGUUUUUGUAAAAUUAUUUACAAAACACUGUAUAGUCUCACAAAUGUCACUUUUUAUUUAUGCCACUACAAAAAAACAUGAUGUAAAUGAUGCAUGCAUGUCUCCCAUGCAGAGCUCGGAGCGCAUGUGUGGCUCUGCACCCUUAGCAGCGUUACUAACUCCUCAGUAAGGAAAGCCUGCUUCAUGUCAGAGUCUCUAAACUCCAGAAGAAGUCGAUAAAAGUCCCUUUCUUUCUAAAAAAAAGUCGUUAGGGGGUCUGAAAAGUCAUUGAAUCUAACAACAAAGUCGCUAGGUUUGCAACUACGUGUCCCAGACUGCAUCCCUGCUGAGAGUCCCUCCCUCGCUUCUCAUGUUGCAGGAAGAACGUAAGCGCCCUCCCCUUGUCAAUCAGUCACCAUAUAAUUUUGGAUUGGUUGUUGUGGUGAAGUUUUCCACCAAUAGGAGAGAUGUUGUGGUGUGUUUUUUUUUUCUUUUGGCAAGCCUUUUCCGCCUGUAAGACCUGUCGCUAAUGUCUGCAUGCUAUGUUUUCCUGUCUCAUACAGCGCGAUCGAGCGCCGAACGUGAUCAAAAUAAGCAGAAAAAAAGUAUCGCGGACAUAAUUUAUCAUAACUCUGGUUUUAUUUGGCCUAUCAACACAAUUUAAAAACUGGUAUAUAGGUUGAGGUCCUCACUUUUGAGAUAAGUUGAAAUGGAGAGUCAACGAGGCUCCGUCUUGCAGCUACAUCCGGUUAAAUAUGUCAUGUGACUUGAACGCACACACAGACACACACACACGCACGCACACACACACACACACACACACACACACACACACACACACACACACUCAGAGUCUGGUUUUUAGCACCUGCAAAAACAUGCUAUUUACAUAUUUGACAAGAAUGCAGAGGCUCCUUUUGCCCCUGAAAAAAAUCAAAUUUCAAACACAACUUGACUGGUCAUUUCUCCAAAAGACAACCAUGAAGCUCCAUCCAAACCUGAAGCAGGCAGUUGGUGCAUGUGUACAGUAACCUGAGGGGAGUGAGGUGAGUGCUUCUGAGGAGAACAUGAGCAGUGAAGAUUCACCUUAGAGCUAGAACAGAGACGUGCACAUGAUUAUACAGGGGCAGGGGCUCAAGUUUUUUCCAGUCGUUUAUACAAUAUGGAAAUUAAUGUGAAAUUAAAACACAAAGUAUUAAUAGAAAGGUAAUGACUGUCCUGUGUAGGUGACAGUGAUAUCCAAUAGGCUAGGCACUCACGAGGCUGGCUGUGGCAAGUGUAAGUGAAAGCAACACGCACUGGCAGGAAGAACAGCAAACGCAGAUGAAGGAAAAGGGUCUUUGCAGUGAUGGGCGUUACCAGAGAGGGCGAUGGCCAGAGGACACAAAUGGGACGGGGAGGCAGCACGUUGGGGGGGGGGACGCGACACGGCUCGGGCCCGCCAGUGCCCCAACGGGGUCCUAGUUAGGGCCCGAGCGUAGCUGCUAAGCAGCUGCGAGAGCCCUCUUGUUCCUGUAGUUUCCUUCUUUUGUUAUUAUUAUUAGGGCCCGAGCCAGAUGCAGAGCAGCCGGGCGUAGGCCCUGUUAUUCCUGUAGGGGUUUUUUAGGGCCCGAGCGUAGCUGCUAAGCAGCUGCGAGAGCCCUCUUGUUCCUGUAGUUUCCUUCUUUUGUUAUUAUUAGGGCCCGAGCGUAGCUGCUAAGCAGCUGCGAGAGCCCUCUUGUUCCUGAUGGAUUCUUCUUUCGUUAUUUUUCCUCCGCUUUAAACUGGAAAAUGGCCCACUUCCCACUGGCGAAAACUCAGGAAAUUUGGCAGGACGACCGGGCCUGGUGAAAAAUUUGAUAUUCUGAAGUCGUCCAAACAAAAAAAUGAAAAAUGGCUCCAUAGCGCCCCCUAUGGUGAAAACUCACCUGAUGCCUGUACGCUUUGUCAAAAUGACACAAAAUUUGACACACAUGUGUAUCUCAAUAAGAUCUACGAAAAAGUCAGUGCGGGCGUAUCUGCCAAAUGUACGGUUAAAGGGCUAUUUCGCUUUUUUUGCCGAUCCGCACACAUUGGAAUUUCGCUAACUCCUCCGAAGGCUUUCGUUCCACCGGCACCAAGUUUGCUCAGGCCAAUCUACACCCCAUGGCCAUUAAAAGUUGUACAAAUCAUGAUGCUGCACCCCACGGUUUACUUUCUAGGGGGCGCCAAAGAUAACCCAAAAAUCCACAUUCUUAAAAGUCUUAUAACUUUUUAUUUUUGUCCUCACUGGCCUCCAAGUUUUCUAGGAUGAUGCAAUGUCCAGCCAUCAACACAUUUGUGAAGGAAUUUUUACUCCCCAAAAGAGCGCCCCCCCAUGGCAGGAGAAAAAAGUCCAUUUUUUCUUGUCUCCUAAGGUAAAAAUACACAUUGUUGAGUGUCACGCCUAUACACUUUGUCAUAUUGACACACAAUUUGACAAUCACGUGUAUCUCAAUAAGAUCUACAAAAAAGUCAAUAGGCACGUAUCUGUCAAAUGUAUGGUUAAAGGGCUAUUUCGCAUUUUUUGCCGAUUCGCACACAUUGGAAUGUGGCUAACUCCUCCUAAGGCUUUCGUCCCACCGAUACCAAAUUUGCUCAGGGCAAUCCACACCCCAUGGCCAUUCAAAGUUGUAAAAAUCAUGACGCUGCACCCCACGGUUUACGUUCUAGGGGGCGCCAAAGAUGACCCAAAAAUCCACAUUCUUAAAAGUCAUUUUGGCCACUGCAGGAGUACAGAGUACUGCAGUUCUAGGGGGCGCCAAAGAUGACCCAAAAAUCCACAUUCUUAAAAGUCUUUUUGGCCACUGCAGGAGUACAGAGUACUGCCGGACACACACACAUAUACACACACGCCAACACACACACACACACACACACACACACACACACACACACACACACACACACACUCAGAGUCUGUUUUUUAGCACCUGCAAAAACAUGCUGUUUACAUAUUUGACAAAAAUGCAGAGGCUUCCUUUUGCCCCUGAAAAAAAUCAAAUUUCAAACACAACUUGACUGUUCAUUUCUCCAAAAGACAACCAUGAAGCUCCAUCCAAACCUGAAGCAGAUAGUUGGUGCAUGUGUACAGUAACCUGAGGAGAGUGAGGUGACUACUUCUGAGGAGAACAUGAGCAGUGAAGAUUCACCUUGGAGCUAGAACAGGGACGUGCACAUGAUUAUACAGGGGCAGGGGCUCAAGUUUUUUCCAGUCAUUUAUACAAUAUGGAAAUUAAUGUGAAAUUAAACCACAAAUAUGUGUGAUGAACUGUUUUUAAAACUUAAACUUCAAAUAAAAAUUGUAAACUUCAAAACAUAUGCAAAUUUUUAACAAAGAACAUAGUAAUUUACCUCUAUUUACAUCAAAAUGCAGGCAAUGGCCCAGGCGUUCUUUGUAAAAUUAUUUACAAAACACUGUAUAGUCUCACAAAUGUCACUUUUUAUUUAUGCCACUACAAAAAAACAUGAUGCAAAUGAUGCAUGAUGUAAAACAUGAUGUAAAAAACUUGUGUAGAUCCUCCUCUAUGUCAGUCCAUGUGUAAUUUUUCCAUAAUUCUUUGUUUUUUGCAGCAUUUUUGUUAGUGUAACUGCAGAUUGUGCUGACAGUGUCUAUGGCAAAAAAAAAAAAAAACUGAAAAUGCCUCAACAUGAACUCCUGGUGGUCUCUGAGGGUGAAACCUGCUAACUGCUGCAGCUCUCUCAGCUCUAGUCUCCCAUGCAGAGCUCGGAGCGCAUGUGUGGCUCUGCACCCUUAGCAGCGUUGCUAACUCCUCAGUAAGGAAAGCCUGCUUCAUGUCAGAGUCUCUAAACUCCAGAGGAAGUCGAUAAAAUUCCCUUUCUUUCUAAAAAAAGUCGUUAGGGGGUCUGAAAAGUCAUUGAAUCUAACAACAAAGUCGCUAGGUUUGCAACUACGUUUCCCAGACUGCAUCCCUGCUGAGAGUUCCUCCCUCCCUUCUCAUAUUGCAGGAAGAACGUAAGCGCCCGCCCCUUGUCAAUCAGUCACCAUAUAAUUUUGGAUUGGUUGUUGUGGUGAAGUUUUCCACCAAUAGGAGAGAUGUUGUGGUGUGUUUUUUUUUCUUUUGGCAUGCCUUUUCCGCCUGUAAGAGCUGUCGCUAAUGUCUGCAUGCUAUGUUUUCCUGUCUCAUACAGCGUGAUCGAGCGCCGAACGUGAUCAAAAUAAGCAGAAAAAAAGUAUCGCGGACAUAAUUUAUCAUAACUCUGGUUUUAUUUGGCCUAUCAACACAAUUUAAAAAACUGGUAUAUAGUUUGAGGUCCUCACUUUUGAGAUAAGUUGAAACGGAGGGUGAACGAGGCUCCGUCUUGCAGCUACAUCCGGUUAAAUAUGUCAUGUGACUUGAACGCUGGGGAGCGUCAAUCGACUGCAGAGCCAGCAGACAAAGUAGUUAUGCCACUGAGAGGCACACAUUUGUCAUAUGCUAUAAUCCUAACAUAUUUUAAUGCUUUUUCUAUUUAAACCUAAUGGAUCUAAGGUUUGACCUUCAAAAUUUAGGAAGAAUAUGUUUUUGCAGUAAUGACCCCCUUAAACAACCAGAGGUCCUUUCCUAAAGUUUAUGGAAAUUUUAGUGAAGGCCUUGGUUUCUUUCCUUGCAAAAUGUAUAGAAAUAAUAAAGCUAAAUACCAUAAAAUGGUCUUGGCGUAUUAGCAGUGAUAUAAAAUAGUGGUUUGAAUAUGAAUGAACAACAAAAAAAAACAUCAACAGAGCCUUUUUGAGUUGGGAUUCUUUCAUUAUCACACAAAAACAGACAUAGACAGACAUCUAAAGGGUAAGGGAAUGAUCAGCCCUCCUAACUCUCAGAUGAAUCUUCAAAAUUCACCGCAGAAAUAUGCUUAUUAUUCUUCUCAGAGUACUGCAAGAUAUAUACACACACACAGACACACACACACACACACACACACACACACACACACUCAGAGUCUGUUUUUUAGCACCUGCAAAAACAUGCUAUUUACAUAUUUGACAAGAAUGCAGAGGCUCCUUUUGCCCCUGAAAAAAAUCUAAUUUCAAACACAACUUGACUGCUCAUUUCUCCAAAAGACAACCAUGAAGCUCCAUCCAAACCUGAAGCAGGCAGUUGGUGCAGAACAGCAAACGCCGAUGAAGGAAAAGGGUCUUUGCAGUGAUGGGCGUUACCAAAGAGGGCGAUAGCCAGAGGACACAAAUGGGACGGGGAGGCAGCGCGUUGGGGGGGGGACGCGACACAGCUCGGGCCCGCCAGUGCCCCAACGGGGUCCUAGUUAGGGCCCGAGCGUAGCUGCUAAGCAGCUGCGAGAGCCCUCUUGUUCCUGUAGUUUCCUUCUUUUGUUAUUAUUAGGGCCCGAGCGUAGCUGCUAAGCAGCUGCGAGAGCCCUCUUGUUCCUGUAGUUUCCUUCUUUAGGGCCCGAGCCAGCUGCAGAGCAGCCGGGCGUAGGCCCUAUUAUUCCCCAAGUGGUUUUUCUUUGUUUCUUUCUUUCUUUCUUUCUUCUUUUUCCUCCCCUUUGAACUGGAAAAUGGCCCACUUCCCACUGGCGAAAACUCAUGAAAUUUGGCAGGACGACCGGGCCUGGUGAAAAAUUCGAUAUUCUGAAGUCGCCCAAACAAUAAAAUGCAAAAUGGCUCCAUAGCGCCCCCUAAGGUGGAAAUUCACACUAUUGACUGUCACGCCUGUACGCUUUGUCAUAUUGACACAAAAAUUGACACACACAUGUAUCUCAAUAAGAUCUACAAAAAAGUCAGUGCGGGCGUAUCUGUCAAAUGUACGGUUAAAGGGUUAUUUCGCAUUUUUUGCCGAUCCGCACACAUUGGAAUUUCGCUAACUCCUCCGAAGGCUUUCGUUCCACCGGCACAACAUUUGCUCAGGCCAAUCUACACCCCGUGGCCAUUAAAAGUUAUCAAAAUCAUGACGCUGCACCCCAAGGUUUAGGUUCUAGGGGGCGCCAAAGAUAACACUAAAAUCCACAUAUUUAAAAGUCUUAUAACUUUUUAUUUUUGUCCUCACUGGCCUCCAAGUUUUCUAGGAUGAUGCAAUGUCCAGCCAUCAACACAUUUGUGAAGGAAUUUUUACUCCCCAAAACAGCGCCCCCCCCCAUGGCAGGACAAAAAAGUCAAUUUUUUCUUGUCCCCUAAGGUGAAAAUACACACUAUUGACUGUCACGCCUGUACGCUUUGUCAAAAUGACACAAAAAUUGACACACACAUGUAUCUCAAUAAGAUCUACAAAAAAGUCAGUGCGGGCGUAUCUGUCAAAUGUACGGUUAAAGGGUUAUUGCGCAUUUUUUGCCGAUCCGCACACAUUGGAAUUUCGCUAACUCCUCCGAAGGCUUUCGUUCCACCGGCACCACAUUUGCUCAGGCCAAUCUACACCCCAUGGCCAUUAAAAGUUAUUCAAAUCAUGACGCUGCACCCCACGGUUUAGGUUCUAGGGGGCGCCAAAAUAACCCUAAAAUCCACAUAUUUAAAAGUCUUAUAACUUUUUAUUUUUGCCCUCACUGGCCUCCAAGUUUUCUAGGAUGAUGCAAUGUCCAGCCAUCAACACAUUUGUGAAGGAAUUUUUACUCCCCAAAAGAGCGCCCCCCCAUGGCAGGAGAAAAAAGUCCAUUUUUACUUGUCCCCUACGGUGAAAAUACACAUUGUUUAGUGUCACGCCUGUACGCUUAGGCAAAAUGACACAAAAAUUGACACACACAUGUAUCUUAAUAAGAUCUACGAAAAAGUCAAUGCGCACGUAUCUGUCAAAUGUACGGUUAAAGGGUUAUUCCGCAUUUUUUGCCGAUCCGCACACAUUGGAAUGUGGCUAACUUCUCCUAAGGCUUUCGUUCCACUGGCACCACAUUUGCUCAGGCCAAUCUACACCCCAUGGCCAUUAAAAGUUAUUCAAAUCAUGACGCUGCACCCCACGGUUUAGGUUCUAGGGGGCGCCAAAAAUAACCCUAAAAUCCACAUAUUUAAAAGUCUUAUAACUUUUUAUUUUUGUCCUCACUGGCCUCCAAGUUUUCUAGGAUGAUGCAAUGUCCAGCCAUCAACACAUUUGUGAAGGAAUUUUUACUCCCCAAAAGAGCGCCCCCCCAUGGCAGGAGAAAAAAGUCCAUUUUUUCUUGUCCCCUAAGGUGAAAAUACACAUUGUUUAGUGUCACGCCUGUACGCUUUGGCAAAAUGACACAAAAAUUGACACACACAUGUAUCUCAAUAAGAUCUACAAAAAAGUCAGUGCGGGCGUAUCUGUCAAAUGUACGGUUAAAGGGUUAUUGCGCAUUUUUUGCCGAUCCGCACACAUUGGAAUUUCGCUAACUCCUCCUAAGGCUUUCGUUCCACCGGCACCACAUUUGCUCAGGCCAAUCUACACCCCAUGGCCAUUAAAAGUUAUUCAAAUCAUGACGCUGCACCCCACGGUUUAGGUUCUAGGGGGCGCCAAAAAUAACCCUAAAAUCCACAUAUUUAAAAGUCUUAUAACUUUUUAUUUUUGCCCUCACUGGCCUCCAAGUUUUCUAGGAUGAUGCAAUGUCCAGCCAUCAACACAUUUGUGAAGGAAUUUUUACUCCCCAAAAGAGCGCCCCCCCAUGGCAGGAGAAAAAGUCAAGUUUUUCCUGCCCAUCGCUCAAUGGCUCAAACGCAUCGCUCUCUCGGCAAAACCGAAAGGAGGAGCAACUUGCCAUUUGGAUAUAUACUAGCUGUGUUUGUGCCCUCACUCAUGGUCCAGACUUUUUUCAAAAAGGACAUGGAGUUUGUCUGCAGCGAGCGUUUUGGUAGAAACUGCGCCUCCCAUUCAUUAUAAUGGUAAAUGACCACAGACAAGUGCGCGCACCAUCUUUGGACCUUGAGUGUGACGCAAUCGGGAGGGGUAGGCAGUCGCGCUGGGGGCAGCGCGACACGGCUCGGGCCCGCCAGUGCCCCACCGGGGCCCUAGUUUGUUAUUAUUAUUUUUCCUCCCCUUUGAACUGGAAAAUGGCCCACUUCCCACUGGCGAAAACUCAGGAAAUUUGGCAGGACGACCGGGCCUGGUGAAAAAUUUGAUAUUCCGAAGUCGCCCAAACAAGAAAAUGCAAAAUGGCUCCAUAGCGCCCCCUAAGGUGAAAAUUCACACUAUUGACUGUCACGCCUGUACGCUUUGUCAAAAUGACACAAAAAUUGACACACACAUGUAUCUCAAUAAGAUCUACAAAAAAGUCAGUGCGGGCGUAUCUGUCAAAUGUACGGUUAAAGGGUUAUUUCGCAUUUUUUGCCGAUCCGCACACAUUGGAAUUUCGCUAACUCCUCCGAAGGCUUUCGUUCCACCGGCACCACAUUUGCUCAGGCCAAUCUACACCCCAUGGCCAUUAAAAGUUAUUCAAAUCAUGACGCUGCACCCCACGGUUUAGGUUCUAGGGGGCGCCAAAGAUAACCCUAAGAUCCACAUAUUUAAAAGUCUUAUAACUUUUUAUUUUUGCCCUCACUGGCCUCCAAGUUUUCUAGGAUGAUGCAAUGUCCAGCCAUCAACACAUUUGUGAAGGAAUUUUUACUCCCCAAAAGAGCGCCCCCCCAUGGCAGGAGAAAAAAGUCCAUUUUUUCUUGUCCCCUAAGGUGAAAAUACACAUUGUUGAGUGUAACACCUGUACGCUUUGGCAAAAUGACACAAAAAUUGACACACACAUGUAUCUCAAUAAGAUCUACGAAAAAGUCAAUGCGCGCGUAUCUGUCAAAUGUACGGUUAAAGGGUUAUUCCGCAUUUUUUGCCGAUCCGCACACAUUGGAAUUUCGCUAACUCCUCCGAAGGCUUUCGUUCCACCGGCACCACAUUUGCUCAGGCCAAUCUACACCCCAUGGCCAUUAAAAGUUAUUCAAAUCAUGACGCUGCACCCCACGGUUUAGGUUCUAGGGGGCGCCAAAGAUAACCCUAAAAUCCACAUAUUUAAAAGUCUUAUAACUUUUUAUUUUUGUCCUCACUGGCCUCCAAGUUUUCUAGGAUGAUGCAAUGUCCAGCCAUCAACACAUUUGUGAAGGAAUUUUUACUCCCCAAAAGAGCGCCCCCCCAUGGCAGGAGAAAAAAGUCCAUUUUUUCUUGUCCCCUAAGGUGGAAAUUCACACUAUUGACUGUCACGCCUGUACGCUUUAUCAUAUUGACACAAAAAUUGACACACACAUGUAUCUCAAUAAGAUCUACAAAAAAGUCAAUGCGCGCGUAUCUGUCAAAUGUACGGUUAAAGGGCUAUUUUGCAUUUUUUGCCGAUUCGCACACAUUGGAAUGUGGCUAACUCCUCCUAAGGCUUUCGUCCCACUGACACCAAAUUUGCUCAGGCCAAUCUACACCCCAUGGCCAUUCAAAGUUGUAAAAAUCAUGACGCUGCACCCCACGGUUUACGUUCUAGGGGGCGCCAAAGAUGACCCAAAAAUCCACAUUCUUAAAGGAAUCCACAUCCCCCCCCAAGGCAGGAGAAAAAGUCAAGUUAACCCUGCCCAUCGCUCAAUGGCUCAAUCGCAUCGCUCUCCAGGCAACACCGUAAGGAGGAGCAACCUGCCAUUUCGAUAUAUCAUAGCUGUGUUUGUGCCCUCACUCAUGGUCCAGACUUUUUUCAAAUAGGACAUGAAGUUUGUCUGCAGCGAGUGUUUUGGUAGAAACUGCGCCUCCCAUUCAUUAUAAUGGGAAAUGACCACAGACAAGUGCGCACACCAUCUUUGGACCUUGAGUGUGACGCGAUCGGGAGGGGGAGGCGGUCGCGCUAGGGGCGGCGCGACGCGGCUCGGGCCCGACAGUGCCCCACCGGGGCCCUAGUUAGGGCCCGAGCGUAGCUGCUAAGCAGCUGCGAGAGCCCUCUUGUUCCUGUAGUUUCCUUCUUUUGUUAUUAGGGCCCGAGCCAGCUGCAGAGCAGCCGGGCGUAGGCCCUGUUAUUCCUGUAGGGGUUUUUCUUUGUUUCUUUCUUUCUUCUUUUUCCUCCCCUUUGAACUGGAAAAUGGCCCACUUCCCACUGGCGAAAACUCAUGAAAUUUGGCAGGACGACCGGGCCUGGUGAAAAAUUCGAUAUUCUGAAGUCGCCCAAACAAUAAAAUGCAAAAUGGCUCCAUAGCGCCCCCUAAGGUGGAAAUUCACACUAUUGACUGUCACGCCUGUACGCUUUGUCAUAUUGACACAAAAAUUGACACACAUAUGUAUCUCAAUAAGAUCUACAAAAAAGUCAGUGCGGCCGUAUCUGUCAAAAUUACGGUUAAAGGGUUAUUUCGCAUUUUUUGCCGAUCCGCACACAUUGGAAUUUCGCUAACUCCUCCGAAGGCUUUCGUUCCACCGGCACCACAUUUGCUCAGGCCAAUCUACACCCCGUGGCCAUUAAAAGUUAUCAAAAUCAUGACGCUGCACCCCAAGGUUUAGGUUCUAGGGGGCGCCAAAGAUAACACUAAAAUCCACAUAUUUAAAAGUCUUAUAACUUUUUAUUUUUGUCCUCACUGGCCUCCAAGUUUUCUAGGAUGAUGCAAUGUCCAGCCAUCAACACAUUUGUGAAGGAAUUUUUACUCCCCAAAAGAGCGCCCCCCCAUGGCAGGAGAAAAAAGUCCAUUUUUUCUUGUCCCCUAAGGUGAAAAUACACAUUGUUGAGUGUCACGCCUAUACGCUUUGUCAAAAUGACACAAAAAUUGACACACAGAUGUAACUCAAUAAGAUCUACAAAAAAGUCCAUGCGCGCGUAUCUGUCAAAUGUACAGUUAAAGAGUUAUUCCGCAUUUUUUGCCGAUACGCACACAUUGGAAUUUCGCUAACUCCUCCGAAGGCUUUCGUUCCACCGGCACCACAUUUGCUCAGGCCAAUCUACACCCCAUGGCCAUUAAAAGUUAUUCAAAUCAUGAUGCUGCACCCCAUGGUUUAGGUUCUAGGGGGCGCCAAAAAUAACCCAAAAAUCCACAUUCUUAAAUGUUUUAUAACUUUUUAUUUUUGUCCUCACUGGCCUCCAAGUUUUCUAGGAUGAUGCAAUGUCCAGCCAUCAACACAUUUGUGAAGGAAUUUUUACUCCCCAAAAGAGCGCCCCCCCAUGGUAGGAGAAAAAAGUCAAUUUUUUCUUGUCCCCUUACAUAAAAAUACACAUUGUUGAGUGUCACGCCUGAACGCUUUGUCAUAUUGACACAAAAAUUGACAAUCAUGUGUAUCUCAAUUAGAUCUACGAAAAAGUCAAAGAGCGCGUAUCUGUAUAAUGUACGGUUAAAGGGCUAUUUUGCAUUUUUUGCCGAUUCGCACACAUUGGAAUGUGGCUAUCUCCUCCUAAGGCUUUCGUCCCACCGAUACCAAAUUUGCUCAGGGCAAUCUACACCCCAUGCCCAUUCAAAGUUGUAAAAAUCAUGACGCUGCACCCCACGGUUUACGUUCUAGGGGGCGCCAAAGAUGACCCAAAAAUCCACAUUCUUAAAAGUCAUUUUGGCCACUGCAGGAGUACAGAGUACUGCAGUUCUAGGGGGCGCCAAAGAUGACCCAAAAAUCCACAUUCUUAAAAGUCUUUUUGGCCACUGCAGGAGUACAGAGUACUGCAGGAUACACACACAUAUACACACACGCCAACAUACACACACACACACACACACACACACACACACAGACACACACACACACUCAGAGUCUGUUUUUUAGCACCUGCAAAAACAUGCUGUUUACAUAUUUGACAAGAAUGCAGAGGCUUCCUUUUGCCCCUGAAAAAAAUCAAAUUUCAAACACAACUUGACUGUUCAUUUCUCCAAAAGACAACCAUGAAGCUCCAUUUCAAACCUGAAGCAGAUAGUUGGUGCAUGUGUACAGUAACCUGAGGGGAGUGAGGUGACUAUUUCUGAGGAGAACAUGAGCAGUGAAGAUUCACCUUGGAGCUAGAACAGGGACGUGCACAUGAUUAUACAGGGGCAGGGGCUCAAGUUUUUUCCAGUCAUUUAUACAAUAUGGAAAUUAAUGUGAAAUUAAACCACAAAUAUGUGUGAUGAACUGUUUUUAAAACUUAAACUUCAAAUAAAAAUUGUAAACUUCAAAACAUAUGCAAAUUUUUAACAAAGAACAUAGUAAUUUACCUCUAUUUACAUCAAAAUGCAGGCAAUGGCCCAGGCGUUCUUUGUAAAAUUAUUUACAAAACACUGUAUAGUCUCACAAAUGUCACUUUUUAUUUAUGCCACUACAAAAAAACAUGAUGUAAAUGAUGCAUGAUGUAAAACAUGAUGUAAAAAACUUGUGUAGAUCCUCCUCUAUGUCAGUCCAUGUGUAAUUUUUCCAUAAUUCUUUGUUUUUUGCAGCAUUUUUGUUAGUGUAACUGCAGAUUGUGCUGACAGUGUCUAUGGCACAAAAAAAAAAAAAAUUAAAAUGCCUCAACAUGAACCCCUGGUGGUCUCUGAGGGUGAAACCUGCUAACUGCUGCAGCUCUGUCAGCUUCAGUCUCCCAUGCAGAGCUCUGAGUGCAUGUGUGGCUCUGCACCCUUAGCAGCGUUGCUAACUCCUCAGUAAGGAAAGCCUGCUUCAUGUCAGAGUCUCUAAACUCCAGAAGAAGUCGAUAAAAGUCACUUUCUUUCUAAAAAAAAAGUCGUUAGGGGGUCUGAAAAGUCAUUGAAUCUAACAACAAAGUCGCUAGGUUUGCAACUACGUGUCCCAGACUGCAUCCCUGCUGAGAGUCCCCUCCUCCCUUCUCAUGUUGCAGGAAGAAUGUAAGCGCCCGCCCCUUGUCAAUCAGUCACCAUAUAAUUUUGGAUUGGUUGUUGUGGUGAAGUUUUCCACCAAUAGGAGAGAUGUUGUGGUGUGUUUUUUUUUUCCUUUGGCAAGCCUUUUCCGCCUGUAAGACCUGUCGCUAAUGUCUGCAUGCUAUGUUUUCCUGUCUCAUACAGCGCGAUCGAGCGCCGAACGUGAUCAAAAUAAGCAGAAAAAAAGUAUCGCGGACAUAAUUUAUCAUAACUCUGGUUUUAUUUGGCCUAUCAACACAAUUUAAAAACUGGUAUAUAGGUUGAGGUCCUCACUUUUGAGAUAAGUUGAAACGGAGAGUCAACGAGGCUCCGUCUUGCAGCUACAUCCGGUUAAAUAUGUCAUGUGAUUUGAACGCACACAUAGACACACACACACGCACACACACACACACACACACACACACACACACACACACACACACACACACACUCAGAGUCUGGUUUUUAGCACCUGCAAAAACAUGCUAUUUACAUAUUUGACAAGAAUGCAGAGGCUCCUUUUGCCCCUGAAAAAAAUGAAAUUUCAAACACAACUUGACUGGUCAUUUCUCCAAAAGACAACCAUGAAGCUCCAUCCAAACCUGAAGCAGGCAGUUGGUGCAUGUGUACAGUAACCUGAGGGGAGUGAGGUGAGUGCUUCUGAGGAGAACAUGAGCAGUGAAGAUUCACCUUGGAGCUAGAACAGAGACAUGCACAUGAUUAUACAGGGGCAGGGGCUCAAGUUUUUUCCAGUCGUUUAUACAAUAUGGAAAUUAAUGUGAAAUUAAAACACAAAGUAUUAAUAGAAAGGUAAUGACUGUCCUGUGUAGGUGACAGUGAUAUCCAAUAGGCUAGGCACUCACGAGGCUGGCUGUGGCAAGUGUAAGUGAAAGCAACACGCACUGGCAGGAAGAACAGCAAACGCCGAUGAAGGAAAAGGGUCUUUGCAGUGAUGGGCGUUACCAGAGAGGGCGAUGGCCAGAGGACACAAAUGGGACGGGGAGGCAGCACGUUGGGGGGGGGGGGGGGGGAGACGCGACACGGCUCGGGCCCGCCAGUGCCCCAACGGGGUCCUAGUUAUUAUUAUUAUUUUUCCUCCCCUUUGAACUGGAAAAUGGCCCACUUCCCACUGGCGAAAACUCAUGAAAUUUGGCAGUACGACCGGGCCUGGUGAAAAAUUUGAUAUUCCGAAGUCGCCCAAACAAGAAAAUGCAAAAUGGCUCCAUAGCGCCCCCUAAGGUGAAAAUUCACACUAUUCACUGUCACGCCGGUACGCUUUGUCAAAAUGACACAAAAAUUGACACACACAUGUAUCUCAAUAAGAUCUACAAAAAAGUCAGUGCAGGCGUAUCUGUCAAAUGUACGGUUAAAGGGUUAUUUCGCAUUUUUUGCCGAUCCGCACACAUUGGAAUUUCGCUAACUCCUCCGAAGGCUUUCGUUCCACCGGCACCACAUUUGCUCAGGCCAAUCUACACCCCAUGGCCAUUAAAAGUUAUUCAAAUCAUGACGCUGCACCCCACGGUUUAGGUUCUAGGGGGCGCCAAAGAUAACCCUAAGAUCCACAUAUUUAAAAGUCUUAUAACUUUUUAUUUUUGCCCUCACUGGCCUCCAAGUUUUCUAGGAUGAUGCAAUGUCCAGCCAUCAACACAUUUGUGAAGGAAUUUUUACUCCCCAAAAGAGCGCCCCCCCAUGGCAGGAGAAAAAAGUCCAUUUUUUCUUGUCCCCUAAGGUGAAAAUACACAUUGUUGAGUGUAACACCUGUACGCUUUGGCAAAAUGACACAAAAAUUGACACACACAUGUAUCUCAAUAAGAUCUACGAAAAAGUCAAUGCGCGCGUAUCUGUCAAAUGUACGGUUAAAGGGUUAUUCCGCAUUUUUUGCCGAUCCGCACACAUUGGAAUUUCGCUAACUCCUCCGAAGGCUUUCGUUCCACCGGCACCACAUUUGCUCAGGCCAAUCUACACCCCAUGGCCAUUAAAAGUUAUUCAAAUCAUGACGCUGCACCCCACGGUUUAGGUUCUAGGGGGAGCCAAAGAUAACCGUAAAAUCCACAUAUUUAAAAGUCUUAUAACUUUUUAUUUUUGUCCCCACUGGCCUCCAAGUUUUCUAGGAUGAUGCAAUGUCCAGCCAUCAACACAUUUGUGAAGGAAUUUUUACUCGCCAAAAGAGCGCCCCCCCAUGGCAGGAGAAAAAAGUCAAUUUUUUCUUGUCCACUAAGGUGAAAAUACACAUUGUUGAGUGCUACGCCUGUAUGUUUUGUCGUAUUGACACAAAAUUUUACAUACACGUGUCUUUCAAUAAGAUCUUCGAAAAAGUCAAUGGCCACGUAUCUGUAAAAUGUACGGUUAAAGGGUUAUUUCGCAUUUUUUGCAGAUUCGCACACAUUGGAAUUUCGCUAACUCCUCCGAAGGCUUUCGUUCCACCGGCACCACAUUUGCUCAGGCCAAUCUACACCCCAUGGCCAUUAAAAGUUAUUCAAAUCAUGACGCUGCACCCCACGGUUUAGAUUCUAGGGGGCGCCAAAGAUAACCCUAAAAUCCACAUAUUUAAAAGUCUUAUAACUUUUUAUUUUUGUCCUCACUGGCCUCCAUGUUUUCUAGGAUGAUGCAAUGUCCAGCCAUCAACACAUUUGUGAAGGAGUUUUUUCUCGUUAAAAGAGCGCCCCCCCCGGCAGGAGAAUAAAGUCAAGUUUUUCCUGUUCAUCAUUCAAUGGCUCAAACGCACUGCUCUCUCGGCAAAAGCGAAAGGAGGAGCAACUUGCCAUUUGGAUAUAUCUUAGCUGUGUUUGUGCCCUCACUCAUGGUCCAGACUUUUUUCAAAUAGGACAUGGAGUUUUUCUGCAGCGAGCGUUUUGGUAGAAACUGCGCCUCCCGUUCAUUAUAAUGGUAAAUGACCACAAACAAGUGCGCACACCAUCUUUGGACCUUGAGUGUGACGCGAUCGGGUGGGGGAGGCGGUCGCGCUGGGGGCGGCGUGACACGGCUCGGGCCCGCCAGUGCCCCAACGGGGCCCUAGUUCUUCUUUUUCCUCCCCUUUGAACUGGAAAAUGGCCCACUUCCCACUGGCGAAAACUCAUGAAAUUUGGCAGGACGACCGGGCCUGGUGAAAAAUUCGAUAUUCUGAAGUCGCCCAAACAAUAAAAUGCAAAAUGGCUCCAUAGCGCCCCCUAAGGUGGAAAUUCACACUAUUGACUGUCACGUCUGUACGCUUUGUCAUAUUGACACAAAAAUUGACACACAUAUGUAUCUCAAUAAGAUCUACAAAAAAGUCAGUGCGGCCGUAUCUGUCAAAAUUACGGUUAAAGGGUUAUUUCGCAUUUUUUGCCGAUCCGCACACAUUGGAAUUUCGCUAACUCCUCCGAAGGCUUUCGUUCCACCGGCACCACAUUUGCUCAGGCCAAUCUACACCCCGUGGCCAUUAAAAGUUAUCAAAAUCAUGACGCUGCACCCCAAGGUUUAGGUUCUAGGGGGCGCCAAAGAUAACACUAAAAUCCACAUAUUUAAAAGUCUUAUAACUUUUUAUUUUUGUCCUCACUGGCCUCCAAGUUUUCUAGGAUGAUGCAAUGUCCAGCCAUCAACACAUUUGUGAAGGAAUUUUUACUCCCCAAAAGAGCGCCCCCCAUGGCAGGAGAAAAAAGUCCAUUUUUUCUUGUCCCCUAAGGUGAAAAUACACAUUGUUGAGUGUCAAGCCUAUACGCUUUGUCAAAAUGACACAAAAUUUGACACACACAUGUAACUCAAUAAGAUCUACAAAAAAGUCCAUGCGCGCGUAUCUGUCAAAUGUACAGUUAAAGGGUUAAUCCGCAUUUUUUGCCGAUACGCACACAUUGGAAUUUCGCUAACUCCUCCGAAGGCUUUCGUUCCACCGGCACCACAUUUGCUCAGGCCAAUCUACACCCCAUGGCCAUUAAAAGUUAUUCAAAUCAUGAUGCUGCACCCCAUGGUUUAGGUUCUAGGGGGCGCCAAAAAUAACCCAAAAAUCCACAUUCUUAAAUGUUUUAUAACUUUUUAUUUUUGUCCUCACUGGCCUCCAAGUUUUCUAGGAUGAUGCAAUGUCCAGCCAUCAACACAUUUGUGAAGGAAUUUUUACUCCCCAAAAGAGCGCCCCCCCAUGGUAGGAGAAAAAAGUCAAUUUUUUCUUGUCCCCUUACAUAAAAAUACACAUUGUUGAGUGUCACGCCUGAACGCUUUGUCAUAUUGACACAAAAAUUGACAAUCAUGUGUAUCUCAAUUAGAUCUACGAAAAAGUCAAAGAGCGCGUAUCUGUAUAAUGUACGGUUAAAGGGCUAUUUUGCAUUUUUUGCCGAUUCGCACACAUUGGAAUGUGGCUAUCUCCUCCUAAGGCUUUCGUCCCACCGAUACCAAAUUUGCUCAGGGCAAUCUACACCCCAUGCCCAUUCAAAGUUGUAAAAAUCAUGACGCUGCACCCCACGGUUUACGUUCUAGGGGGCGCCAAAGAUGACCCAAAAAUCCACAUUCUUAAAAGUCAUUUUGGCCACUGCAGGAGUACAGAGUACUGCAGUUCUAGGGGGCGCCAAAGAUGACCCAAAAAUCCACAUUCUUAAAAGUCUUUUUGGCCACUGCAGGAGUACAGAGUACUGCAGGAUACACACACAUAUACACACACGCCAACAUACACACACACACACACACACACACACACACACACACACAGACACACACCCACACUCAGAGUCUGGUUUUUAGCACCUGCAAAAACAUGCUGUUUACAUAUUUGACAAGAAUGCAGAGGCUUCCUUUUGCCCCUGAAAAAAAUCAAAUUUCAAACACAACUUGACUGUUCAUUUCUCCAAAAGACAACCAUGAAGCUCCAUUUCAAACCUGAAGCAGAUAGUUGGUGCAUGUGUACAGUAACCUGAGGGGAGUGAGGUGACUAUUUCUGAGGAGAACAUGAGCAGUGAAGAUUCACCUUGGAGCUAGAACAGGGACGUGCACAUGAUUAUACAGGGGCAGGGGCUCAAGUUUUUUCCAGUCAUUUAUACAAUAUGGAAAUUAAUGUGAAAUUAAACUACAAAUAUGUGUGAUGAACUGUUUUUAAAACUUAAACUUCAAAUAAAAAUUGUAAACUUCAAAACAUAUGCAAAUUUUUAACAAAGAACAUAGUAAUUUACCUCUAUUUACAUCAAAAUGCAGGCAAUGGCCCAGGCGUUCUUUGUAAAAUUAUUUACAAAACACUGUAUAGUCUCACAAAUGUCACUUUUUAUUUAUGCCACUACAAAAAAACAUGAUGUAAAUGAUGCAUGAUGUAAAACAUGAUGUAAAAAACUUGUGUAGAUCCUCCUCUAUGUCAGUCCAUGUGUAAUUUUUCCAUAAUUCUUUGUUUUUUGCAGCAUUUUUGUUAGUGUAACUGCAGAUUGUGCUGACAGUGUCUAUGGCACAAAAAAAAAAAAAAUUUUUUAAUGCCUCAACAUGAACCCGUGGUGGUCUCUGAGGGUGAAACCUGCUAACUGCUGCAGCUCUGUCAGCUUCAGUCUCCCAUGCAGAGCUCUGAGCGCAUGUGUGGCUCUGCACCCUUAGCAGCGUUGCUAACUCCUCAGUAUGGAAAGCCUGCUUCAUGUCAGAGUCUCUAAACUCCAGAAGAAGUCGAUAAAAGUCCCUUUCUUUCUAAAAAAAAGUCGUUAGGGGGUCUGAAAAGUCAUUGAAUCUAACAACAAAGUCGCUAGGUUUGCAACUACGUGUCCCAGACUGCAUCCCUGCUGAGAGUCCCUCCCUCCCUUCUCAUGUUGCAGGAAGAACGUAAGCGCCCCCCUUGUCAAUCAGUCACCAUAUAAUUUUGGAUUGGUUGUUGUGGUGAAGUUUUCCACCAAUAGGAGAGAUGUUGUGGUGUGUUUUUUUUUUCUUUUGGCAAGCCUUUUCCGCCUGUAAGAACUGUCGCUAAUGUCUGCAUGCUAUGUUUUCCUGUCUCAUACAGCGCGAUCGAGCGCCGAACGUGAUCAAAAUAAGCAGAAAAAAAAUAUCGCGGACAUAAUUUAUCAUAACUCUGGUUUUAUUUGGCCUAUCAACACAAUUUAAAAACUGGUAUAUAGGUUGAGGUCCUCACUUUUGAGAUAAGUUGAAACGGAGAGUCAACGAGGCUCCGUCUUGCAGCUACAUCCGGUUAAAUAUGUCAUGUGACUUGAACGCACACACAGACACACACACACACACACACACACACACACACACACACACACACACACACACACUCAGAGUCUGGUUUUUAGCACCUGCAAAAACAUGCUAUUUACAUAUUUGACAAGAAUGCAGAGGCUCCUUUUGCCCCUGAAAAAAAUCAAAUUUCAAACACAACUUGACUGGUCAUUUCUCCAAAAGACAACCAUGAAGCUCCAUCCAAACCUGAAGCAGGCAGUUGGUGCAUGUGUACAGUAACCUGAGGGGAGUGAGGUGAGUGCUUCUGAGGAGAACAUGAGCAGUGAAGAUUCACCUUGGAGCUAGAACAGAGACAUGCACAUGAUUAUACAGGGGCAGGGGCUCAAGUUUUUUCCAGUCGUUUAUACAAUAUGGAAAUUAAUGUGAAAUUAAAACACAAAGUAUUAAUAGAAAGGUAAUGACUGUCCUGUGUAGGUGACAGUGAUAUCCAAUAGGCUAGGCACUCACGAGGCUGGCUGUGGCAAGUGUAAGUGAAAGCAACACGCACUGGCAGGAAGAACAGCAAACGCCGAUGAAGGAAAAGGGUCUUUGCAGUGAUGGGCGUUACCAGAGAGGGCGAUGGCCAGAGGACACAAAUGGGACGGGGAGGCAGCACGUUGGGGGGGGGGGGGGGGGGGACGCGACACGGCUCGGGCCCGCCAGUGCCCCAACGGGGUCCUAGUUAGGGCCCGAGCGUAGCUGCUAAGCAGCUGCGAGAGCCCUCUUGUUCCUGUAGUUUCCUUCUUUUGUUAUUAGGGCCCGAGCGUAGCUGCUAAGCAGCUGCGAGAGCCCUAUUAUUCCCCAAGGGGUUUUUCUUUGUUUCUUUCUUUCUUCUUUUUCCUCCCCUUUGAACUGGAAAAUGGCCCACUUCCCACUGGCAAAAACUCAUGAAAUUUGGCAGGAUGACCGGGCCUGGUGAAAAAUUUGAUAUUCCGAAGUCGCCCAAACAAGAAAAUGCAAAAUGGCUCCAUAGCGCCCCCUAAGGUGAAAAUUCACACUAUUGACUGUCACGCCUUUACGCUUUGUCAAAAUGACACAAAAAUUGACAAACAUAUGUAUCUCAAUAAGAUCUACAAAAAAGUCAGUGCGGGCGUAUCUGUCAAAUGUACGGUUAAAGGGUUAUUCCGCAUUUUUUGCCGAUCCGCACACAUUGGAAUUUCGCUAACUCCUCCGAAGGCUUUCUUUCCACCGGCACCACAUUUGCUCAGGCCAAUCUACACCCCAUGGCCAUUAAAAGUUAUUCAAAUCAUGACGCUGCACCCCACGGUUUAGGUUCUAGGGGGCGCCAAAGAUAACCCUAAAAUCCACAUAUUUCAAAGUCUUAUAACUUUUUAUUUUUGCCCUCACUGGCCUCCAAGUUUUCUAGGAUGAUGCAAUGUCCAGCCAUUAACACAUUUGUGAAGGAAUUUUUACUCCCCAAAAGAGCGCCCCCCCAUGGCCGGAGAAAAAAGUCCAUUUUUUCUUGUCCCCUAAGGUGAAAAUACACAUUGUUGAGUGUCACGCCUGUACGCUUUGUCAUAUUGACACAAAAUUUGACACACACAUGUAUCUCAAUAAAAUCUACGAAAAAGUCAAUGCGCGCGUAUCUGUCAAAUGUACGGUUAAAGGGUUAUUCCGCAUUUUUUGCUGAUCCGCACACAUUGGAAUUUCGCUAACUCCUCCUAAGGCUGGCGUUCCACCGGCACCACAUUUGCUCAGGCCAAUCUACACCCCAUGGCCAUUAAAAGUUAUUCAAAUCAUGAUGCUGCACCCCACGGUUUAGGUUCUAGGGGGCGCCAAAGAUAACCCUAAAAUCCACAUAUUUCAAAGUCUUAUAACUUUUUAUUUUUGUCCUCACUGGCCUCCAAGUUUUCUAGGAUGAUGCAAUGUCCAGCCAUCAACACAUUUGUGAAGGAAUUUUUACUCCCCAAAAGAGCGCCCCCCCAUGGCAGGAGAAAAAAGUCAGUUUUUUCUUGUCCCGUAAGGUGAAAAUUCACAUUGUUGAGUGUGACACCUGUACGCUUUGUCAUAUUGACACAAAAUUUGACAAUCACGUGUAUCUCAAUAAGAUCUACGAAAAAGUCAAAGCGCGCGUAUCUGUCAAAUGUACGGUUAAAGGGUUAUUCCGCAUUUUUUGACGAUCCGCACACAUUGGAAUGUGGCUAACUCCUCCUAAGGCUUUCGUUCCACCGGCACCACAUUUGCUCAGGCCAAUCUACACCCCAUGGCCAUUAAAAGUUAUUCAAAUCAUGACGCUGCACCCCACGGUUUAGGUUCUAGGGGGCGCCAAAGAUAACCCUAAAAUCCACAUAUUUAAAAGUCUUAUAACUUUUUAUUUUUGUCCUCACUGGCCUCCAAGUUUUCUAGGAUGAUGCAAUGUCCAGCCAUCAACACAUUUGUGAAGGAAUUUUUACUCCCCAAAAGAGCGCCCCCCCAUGGCAGGAGAAAAAAGUCCAUUUUUUCUUGUCGCCUAAGGUGAAAAUUCACAUUGUUGAGUGUGACACCUGUACGCUUUGUCAUAUUGACACAAAAUUUGACAAUCACGUGUAUCUCAAUAAGAUCUACGAAAAAGUCAAUGCGCGCGUAUCUGUCAAAUGUACGGUUAAAGGGCUAUUUUGCAUUUUUUGCCGAUUCGCACACAUUGGAAUGUGGCUAACUCCUCCUAAGGCUUUCGUCCCACUGACACCAAAUUUGCUCAGGCCAAUCUACACCCCAUGGCCAUUCAAAGUUGUAAAAAUCAUGACGCUGCACCCCACGGCUCACGUUCUAGGGGGCGCCAAAGAUGACCAAAAAAUCCACAUUCUUAAAAG